CUUGAUGUCCUGGUGGAUGGGCCAAUUACCAGAGUGUCAUCUAUUCACAGAAGUGAGAAGCUGCCUAGUGUUGAUGGUGUUAGAGGUCACCGACUGCGAGUAUGCCGUGUCUUGCAAGAAGAUGGAGAGCGAAACAGUUUUUUAUCCCCUCUGAGAGAUGAUCAUUCCCUUCAGCCAAGAGAGUCUUUGUUAACAUUCAAAUGGAUGCUCACCAAGGAAGCCAUCCAUUUAUCGGUCAAGAAGAUUCUUCUACCCUGCCUGACAGGACAAUUUUGCAUGAUACUUCUGAUCUGCAUGUCAAGAGAAAACGUAAGAUUGAAGAAGCCCAGAUUGCUAGGGAAGUUGAAGCUAAUGAAAACCGAAUUCGCAAAGCACUAGAGAAAGAAAAUAUUUUGAGGAGAAAGGUUUUCAUUUAUCACUUAAGGAUAUGUGAGCUUUGUGGAGAAAAAUUUGGCAUGUACUGAUAUCCUGUAUUUUUCUAUUGCGGGCUAAGGAACGAAUGAGGAAAGAGAUGGAAAGAUUUGAUCGUGAAAGAAGGAAGGAAGAAGAAAGGUUGAUGCGUGAACAGCAGAGAGAGGAGGAGAGAUUGCUACGUGAGCAAGGCGAGAAUCAGAGCGACGGGAGAAGUAUUUACAGAAAGAAUCUAUUAAGGCGGAGAAAAAGAGACAAGAGAAGAGUUUCACCGAGAAAAAGAAGCAGAGAGAUGAAAAGGUGCAGUGGAGAAGGCCACUGCUUGCAGAAUUGCCAAGGAAUCCAUGGAGCUUAUGAAGGAUGAACAGCUGGAGCUGAUGGAAUUGGCCACUGCAAGCAAGGGGUUGCCUUCAAUCAUUAAUCUCGAUCAUGUCACUAUGCAGAACCUUGAGUUGUUCAGAGUAAACAGAAAAUGCAACUCAGUACUGGGAGUUUACAAAGUUGUAGAGGCAUGUCACUUGGUGGCUGAUUGUUCAUUUGCGAGUCCAAGUUUGACAACCAACGAAAGCUGUUUACCAUUGAUUAUCGAGUUAAGGUAGGAGCCUGGAUUUCCUGGAGAAAAUGGUUCCUCAAUUAUUACAGACAUCAGCAUAAAUCCUCGUCAAUCAUUCGCUCCAUCAUGCAAGAAACCGGCCCUACAAUUGCCCUCGACCUGGUCUUUCUGCUGCUGUGUCUGAAUAAUUGGACAAGAACAGGGACGGGUUUGAGUUUCGCCAAGAACAUAUUGUUCUUGCUUAUUCGUCAGUUGUAAUACAGAG